rnacentral:rRNA from 1 species
UACGUAGGUGGCGAGCGUUGUCCGGAUUUACUGGGCGUAAAGGGAGCGUAGUCGGACUUUUAAGUGAGAUGUGAAAUACCCGGGCUCAACUUGGGUGCUGCAUUUCAAACUGGAAGUCUAGAGUGCAGGAGAGGAGAAUGGAAUUCCUAGUGUAGCGGUGAAAUGCGUAGAGAUUAGGAAGAACACCAGUGGCGAAGGCGAUUCUCUGGACUGUAACUGACGCUGAGGCUCGAAAGCGUGGGGAGCAAACAGGAUUAGAUACCCCGUA